CGCCUGUUUAUCAAAAACAUCUCUUCUCGUUAGUUUUUGAAGUAUGGCCUGCCCACUGACCUUGAAUGUUGAAGGGCCGCGGUAUUUUGACCGUGCAAAGGUAGCAUAGUCAUUAGUUCUUUAAUUGUGAUCUGGUAUGAAUGGCUUGACGAGGCAUAAGCUGUCUUAAUUUUGAAUUGUUUAUUGAAUUUGGUCUUUGAGUUAAAAUUCUUAGAUGUUUUUAUGGGACGAGAAGACCCUAUAGAGUUUGACAUUUAUUAUGGUCUCUUUCUGUUUGUGAGGGUUCACUAGGGCUGUUUAAUAUGUUUUGUUGGGGUGAUGGGAGGGAUAUUAUUUAACCCCUCCUUUGUGUUGUUAUAUUUAUUUAUAUUUGCUUGAUCCAUUUAUUUUGAUUGUAAGAUUAAAUUACCUUAGGGAUAACAGCGUAA
rnacentral:rRNA from 1 species